rnacentral:rRNA from 1 species
CCUACGGGAGGCAGCAGUGGGGAAUAUUGCGCAAUGGGCGAAAGCCUGACGCAGCGACGCCGCGUGAGGGAUGAAGGUCUUCGGAUCGUAAACCUCUGUCAGCAGGGAAGCACGGUCACUGUGCUAAUCAGCAGUGAAUUGACGGUACCUGCAAAGGAAGCCCCGGGCAACUCCGUGCCAGCCGCCGCGGGAAGACGGAGGGUGCGUGCGUUAAUCGGAAUUACUGGGCGUAAAGCGCUCGUAGGCGGUAAUUCAAGUCAAGGGUGAAAUCCACGCGCUCAACGUGGGAAGUGCCUUUGAAACUGGCAAACUGGAGUGUGUGGGAGGAUAGUGGAAUUCCAGGUGUAGGAGUGAAAU